UUUCCGUAGGUGAACCUGCGGAAGGAUCAUUAUUGUAUAACCGAGGUGCGAGGGCUGUCGCUGACCCGAAAGGUCGUGCACGCCCGAGUGCCCUCACACACAUCCAUCUCACCCCUAUGUGCACCACCGCUUGGGUCCCCCUUUGGCUUGUUCGGAGGGGGGCUUACGUUUUCACACGAACUUUGUAUGCAGUGUAGAAUGUAUUUUUUGUUUUUGCGAUCACGCAAUCAAUACAACUUUCAACAACGGAUCUCUUGGCUCUC
rnacentral:misc_RNA from 1 species